rnacentral:misc_RNA from 1 species
GAUGAGAACGUAGUGAAAUGCGAUAAGUAAUGUGAAUUGCAGAAUUCAGUGAAUCAUCGAAUCUUUGAACGCACAUUGCGCCCCCUGGCAUUCCGGGGGGCAUGCCUGUUCGAGCGUCAUUACAACCCUCAAGCUCUGCUUGGUAUUGGGCUCUGCUGGGACCGGCAGGCCUUAAAAUCAGUGGCGGCGCCACUCGGCUUCAAGCGUAGUAAUUCUUCUCGCUUCGGAGACCCGGGUGCGUGCUAGCCAGCAACCCCCAACUUUCUUAGGUUGACCUCGGAUCAGGUAGGGAUACCCGCUGAACUUAAGCAUAUCAAUAAGCGGAGGA